ACAAAGGUGGUGGCGCAGUAGAGGCAAUGGCAGAUUUGAACCUAACCCAGGAAUAAAGCGACCACCUGUUACUGUUCUUCAAGCACCGCCGCCACCACCGCCAUGACCAACAUCAUAAUUCCAGAAUCAACCUCAAGUUUAAAACUUUUGGCAUGUACAGAUAGUGCUCCAUGCCAUGGCGUCCACUUGGUAUAUUAUAUUAUUGUAUUGCAACUCUUUAAUUUCCCUUCGGGAUUAUAUCUUCUCAAUCAUAGGGAUCAAUAAAUUGUUUGCCAUAUUCCUCU